rnacentral:lncRNA from 1 species
AGGCAUCUAUGGCAUAUGGAAUUUCCCUGGCUAGGGGUCAAAUCAGAGCUUUCCUAAAAACACAAAGUGUUGGCGUGACAUCAAAAUUAUUAUUUGCUACUUCUAUUUGGCAAAGCGCUAUCUCUUGAAAAUUUUAAAUAACAUCAUACAAAUGUCUUUAAUAUGACACAUUUUUGAUACACACAAUUAUCUAAAUUUCAAGUAUAAAUGCUUGACCAUUUCCUAAAAAGCAACUCUUCAAAAAUGACAUCAUCUCAGCAAAAAUAUUAUAAAUGAGAAGAAAUAAGAACAUCAUCAUGAUGAAAGAACAUUUGUAUUCCUUGGACUAACCAUGAGAGAAUAAUCCCUAAAAAGAAGUAAGGGCAUUGUGAUGAACUAGGAGCUUUAAUUUUUGCCAAAUAAUUGCAGAAGAAUCUGUGUUACCUAAGUGUUAUUUAACGAAUAAUUAAUCCCAACACUUGGUUCACCCUGUCUUGAAUCCUAUUUCUGAUGUCAAUCUUAGCCAACUCAUGGAAAUAUUUUAGGACUAGAGGAAAAGACAUACCAAUCUUUUUAUAGGUCAUUCCUAAAGUUACAUUUGAUAUGAUAGUGGAUAAAUGUGUCCAAGUUACAUUUGACAUGAGAUUGGAUAAAUGUGUCCAAACUUUAAAAUUUCAUUUAUUCUAAAUAUAUUUUGGUGAUGAUUGUACAACCCUAUACAUUUACUAAAAAUCAUUAUAUUUUACACUUUAAGAAGUAAUUUUAUGAUAUAUCAAUUAUGCUUCAAGAAAGGCGCUUUAAAAAUUCACUUAUUCUUUCCACAGGUUUUUAAAAUUAUUUUUUGUAUGUGGAAUUUAAUUAGUACUCUUAGUAUUUUGGGGGUGAAGUAGUUCAGGAAUUUCAUUCUGUUGUCUUAAUCCAAGAGAAAGCUCAAUGAUGGAGUUAAGAAAAGGGCUUUUCAAAAUGCAAAGUGUUUUAAGACACUGAAAUCCCUUUACUUACCUCAAAAUAGAUAGAGGACUUAAAGAUGUACAGAUGUGAAAAUGAUCUGGGAGAAUUUAGACACAAACAGAUUAAAGAUUCUUUCAUGUCAUCACUGACACCUGCAAGGUUUAAUUAAGCUGAAAGUCACCAACUUCUGCUCAAAAUGCUGACUAGUGGCUUGUUAAUUAGUUGCUUUUCUCAUUGAUUAGCAACUUAUGCAAUACCCUGUUAUAAAUGGCUGUAAUGCUUGCCUUGUUUCAGGGCUUAAUUAAUAUGAUAUAGACUAUUUAACAAUUGUGUGCUUGUUUGAUUUAUGAAGCAAAAGGAGAGAAUUUUAUUGCCAACCCAAAACAGUGAUGUAUAAAAACACAUUCUCAAAGCACGACAAAGCUGGUAAUAUAAAAAACUUUCCUUGUCUUUUAGGGAAACUUUGAUGAAAUGAGCCAUCACUGCUUGUCAUGAGCAAUCAAUUAAUUUCUCAGAAAUUGUGUUGUCAACAAAUUUUUAAAACAAAUGUUUCAAUAAAUAAGUACCCGUCAAUUCUGAGUUAUUGAAAUUAUACUUUAGAAUGCACUGUGGAAUUAAUUAAAAUUAGUGUGUGGGCACUUCUCUGCUUUUUUUUAACAUGCAUAUGACUCUCAAAUUUUUAUUUUCAGACCUAGUCUCUCCCUAAAACUCUAGGCUGUGGUACUCAACUUCUUAUCUGAUAUCUCUAUGGGAUGCCCAACAGGCAUUUCUGACCUACAGGGCCAAACACAACACUUGAUUCUGCCUGUCGCCUUUCCCCAACUAUCCCGCCUCCCAUCCAUCUCAGUAGAAAACAACUCCUCUGUCUACUUUGUAGUUUAAGCCAAACAUUUAGAGAGUCAUCCUUUCUCUCUUUUCCUUACUUCUCACAUCCUAUCUCCCAAACAUCCUGAUUCUGUAUAUAUUCUGUAAAUGUCAUAUUACUUCUUCGGUCUUACCUACUGACAUCUGUCACCUGGGCCACAAUCUCCUAACUGUGCUUUUUUAAAAACUGAAGUAUAGGUGAUGUACAAUAUUAUAUAUUAUAUAAAGGUAAACAGUAUAGUGAUUCACAAUUUUUAAAGCUUAUACUUCACUCACUUAUUUGGUUGCACCUGAAGCAUGCAGAAGUUCUUGGGCCAGGGAUAGAACCCGUGCCAUAGCAGUGACCCAAGCUUCUACAGUGCCAGAUCCUAAACCACUGAGCCACAAGUGGACUCCCUAUGCUCCAUUUAUAGUUAUAAAAUAUUGAGUAUAUUCCCAGCAUUGUACAAUAUAUCCUUAUAGCUUAUUUUAUACAUAAUAGUCUGUACCUCUUAAUCAUCUAACUCUACUUUGAUCACUUCCCAAAGAUAUUGUCCCCAAACAUUCAGUGUGGUAUCUUUUCACUUCCCAACAUAGAGCUUUCCAAUGGCUUCCCAAUGUGCUUGGAAAAAAAAAAAAUCAUUCUUACUCCCUUUGAUUACAUACUCUUACAUGAUCUGGCCCCCGAGGACUUCUCUGAUCUCAUCUCCCUGUCUCCCUUUGCUCCCUGUAUUUUAAGUUCAUUGGCAUCAGCUAUUCCCCAUGCUUAGCCAGUACCUCCGUGGACUUUCACAUGCUUGCUCCUUGUUUUCAUUUUUUCAUCAUUGACACUGUAACUUAAAGGCCACUUCCUCAGAGAGGACCUCCCUGAUACCCUAAAUAGCCACCAGUUUACUUGUUGUCAGAGCACUUUUCACUAUCUCACUUUUAAUUUUUUUUCUAGAUGACAUAUUUGGUUAUUUUUUUCUUUCAACAACAGAAUGGAAACUCUAUAAGAACAGAAACCUCAACUUUCUCAUUCUUUGCUCUAUCCAAAUGGUUAGAACUGUGGCAAGCACAUAGUAGUUACACAAUAUAUUUUGGUUGAAUAGCUAGAUGUCUGGAUAGAUGUGGUGAGGUUUAUUCACUGUAGAGUUACUCUAUACUGGUUUUCUUUCCAAAAUGACAAAUAAGCAUGUAAGUUGCUGAUCAAACUUUUAUCACAGCAAACUUGGUUCUCUAUUCAUCUUUAAGGAGAAUGCUUCUGAUAUACCCAGCAAGGAUAAAUGGUAAACUAAGGUGAAUCUCAGUAUUACAGUUAAGUCUCACCUU